GUUGCUGUGGUGUAGUGGUUGUCACGUCAGUCUUACACACUGAAGGCCCCCAGUUCAAUCCUGGGCAGCAACA
rfam:Ipomoea nil DNA, scaffold: scaffold2921, cultivar: Tokyo-kokei standard.